GUGGUGGCUGUGGGGACUGCUCAAACCUAUCUGUUAGUAUGCGUGAGUCCUUGUGCAGAGGAGCCCUUGGAUGUGGUCCCAGGGAGGACAUCCUGGAGAUUGACUAAAACUGGAUUAAGGGUCAUCUAACAUCCUCUCUGAGGACUCCUGGUAGUGCAGUAACAUCUGAGAGGGGCUCCUAGCAAGGUUCAGGCCAUUCUUCACCCUCUAGUUCUCUCUCAGCCACUGACUAGGCCCACUUCUGGCCCAGGUAUCUGACCAGAGUGUGAAAGAGGAGUGCCCCCUUACAGGGACUGUCUUGGAAGCUCCUUUGUUUUUCAUUGUCCUCCUUUGAGGACAGCAGGCCCUCAUCUCUUCCUGAAUGGGACCUACUGCAUAUGAAAUGAUCUCAAGUGCUGCACUUAAGCCCAGGGCUGUCCAUCUCUCGUCUCUUCUCUGAAGCCAGCAGCGUUGGCCUUUUGUGUGCAUGUGGGCUUCAGCUAUGUAAACAGAAGCCACUUCCACGAAAUAGUAAACCUCAGCCACCAGAGACAGAACCAACCCAGGUAUGCACUGAAAAGAAGAUCCUCCUCUGAUGAUGUCCAGACAAAAAGUCAGGGCAAAAUGGAGGAAGAGGAGGGGUCUGCUUUGGGGAAACCAAGACAAGCUCUGUCCAUGAAAGGGGGACAAGACAGAUGGAGAACUGAAAGGACCUCUUUCCAUUGGUACCUGUACAAGUGAGCCCUCAGCUUGAAGACUUAGCUCAUACUCUGAAUACUCAGAAGAGAGACAGGACCAGGAUCUGGGUCUGAGGUUAGUAGGCCCCUGCCACAACAAUUAGCUCUGGCCUGAGCCCAGAGUUGGCUAGAUUCAAGCCCAGGACUCUAAAGACGGACAGUUAGCUGUGGCUCAAGCAGCUAAGGUGCCAGCCACAUACACCUGAGCUGGAGGGUUUGAAUUCAGCCCCGGCCAGCCAAACAACAAUGACCACUGCAACCAAAAAAUAGCGGGGUGUUGUGGCAGGCACCUGUAGUCCCAGCCACUUGGGAGGCAGAGGCAGGAGAAUUGCUUGAGCCCAGGAGUUGAAAGUUGCUGUGAGCUGUGAUGCCACAGCACUCUACCCAGGGCAAC